UACAGAGGUCUCAAGCGUUGUUCGGAUUCAUUGGGCGUAAAGGGUGCGUAGGCGGCGCGGUAAGUCGGGGUGUGAAAUCUCGGGAGCUUAACUCCGAAACUGCAUUCGAUACUGCCGUGCUUGAGGACUGGAGAGGAGACUGGAAUUUACGGUGUAGCGGUGAAAUGCGUAGAUAUCGUAAGGGAAGACCAGUGGCGAAGGCGGGUCUCUGGACAGUUCCUGACGCUGAGGU
rnacentral:rRNA from 1 species